rnacentral:rRNA from 1 species
UACGUAGGGUGCGAGCGUUAAUCGGAAUUACUGGGCGUAAAGGGUGCGCAGGCGGCGUCGCAAGUCAGGCGUGAAAUCCCCGGGCUUAACCUGGGAAUGGCACUUGAAACUACGAUGCUGGAGUAUGGCAGAGGGAGGUGGAAUUCCACGUGUAGCGGUGAAAUGCGUAGAUAUCUGGAGGAACACCGGUGGCGAAGGCGGCAUCCUGGACCAUUACUGACACUGAAAAGCGAAAGCCAGGGGAGCAAACGGG